rnacentral:rRNA from 1 species
AUUGAACGCUGGCGGCAUGCCUUACACAUGCAAGUCGAACGGCAGCACGGGUACUUGUACCUGGUGGCGAGUGGCGAACGGGUGAGUAAUACAUCGGAACGUACCUUAUCGUGGGGGAUAACGCAGCGAAAGCUGUGCUAAUACCGCAUACGCCCUGAGGGGGAAAGCGGGGGAUCGAAAGACCUCGCGCGAUUAGAGCGGCCGAUGCUUGAUCAGCUUGUUGGUGGGGUAAAGCCCACCAAGGCGACGAUCAAUAGCUGGUCUGAGAGGACGAUCAGCCACACUGGGACUGAGACACGGCCCAG